UACGUAGGGUGCGAGCGUUGUCCGGAAUUAUUGGGCGUAAAGGGCUCGUAGGCGGUUUGUCGCGUCGGGAGUGAAAACGCCGUGCUUAACACGGCGCUUGCUUUCGAUACGGGCAGACUAGAGGUAUGCAGGGGAGAACGGAAUUCCUGGUGUAGCGGUGAAAUGCGCAGAUAUCAGGAGGAACACCGGUGGCGAAGGCGGUUCUCUAGUACGGUACUGACGCUGAGACGCGAAAGCGUGGGGAGCGAACAGG
rnacentral:rRNA from 1 species